UUUAAGAUCCAAUUUUUAUGAAACAGUGCUUAUAUUUUCCACAAAAUAAUCGGUUUACCAGUGAAAUCUACAUAAAAAUCCGUUGUGUAGUUCCGGAGAUGUACGCGAAACAAACAGACAGACAGAAAAUAAUCUUUGCUCGUUUAUGUUUUAUUGUUUAUUGAACUACGUUAUGUUCUUUACUUAUACACUUUCUAUUUUUUUCACUUUUCAUCAAUGGAUAGAUACACCAGAUACAUACAUCAUAGGUGCCACCAGAAUCUACUAUUUUAUUAUACGGAUUGAGUCUCCGGAGUUGUUCACAACAAGUCAACACGGGCUCGACGGACAUUGUGAUCACGAAAGUCGAAAUCUGUAAAGGACCAAAACGAGUCGACUGUGCUGGUGCAUCGUUCAUAAUGAAAAACAAUUUAAGUCUGACUUAUGAGUUGGAUCUCAAAAGGGACAUCACGCUAUCUGGUGGGAAAAUAGAAGGAUCGUGUGAAGGCAAACCCUUUGUUAAAUAUCAGAUGAAGAACCCUUGCGAUAAUCUAUUUAUUAAAUCUUUAUUCAAGACCUUCGUUAAUAUAUCGGACAGUUGUAUGGUUGCGAAGGGCCAAUACAAAUUCCUUGUGGACGUCGAAAACAUAUCUCAAAAGUACUACAACGGGGUUUACUUUUUCGGGAAUUGGACGUAUAAGUCGGUAUUUUAUGGGAACAGUUGUAACGUUAUAUGCAACGUAAUUGAAUUGAUUAUAACACCGAAAAAGAAAUAUUAAUGCAAGAUAGCCGAAUAUCUACAAACAGCCAGCAAACCAAUACAGAAUCUUACUCAAAACAAACUAUACAUCUACUGUUUUCAUAAACAAAUAAAACUGAA